UACGUAGGUGACGAGCGUUGUCCGGAUUUACUGGGCGUAAAGAGCGCGCAGGCGGUCGUUCAAGUCGAGUGUGAAAGCCCCCGGCUCAACUGGGGAGGGUCACUCGAUACUGAUCGACUCGAAGGCAGGAGAGGGUAGUGGAAUUCCCGGUGUAGUGGUGAAAUGCGUAGAGAUCGGGGGGAACACCCGUGGCGAAGGCGGCCAGCUGGGCCGACCCUGACACUGAGGCGCGAAGGCUAGGGAGCAAACGGG
rnacentral:rRNA from 1 species